rnacentral:rRNA from 1 species
GUAGGUGGCAAGCGUUGUCCGGAAUUAUUGGGCGUAAAGCGCGCGCAGGCGGUUCUUUAAGUCUGAUGUGAAAGCCCACGGCUCAACCGUGGAGGGUCAUCGGAAACUGGAAAACUUGAGUACAGAAGAGGAAAGCGGAAUUCCACGUGUAGCGGUGAAAUGCGUAGAGAUGUGGAGGAACACCAGUGGCGAAGGCGGCUUUCUGGUCUGUAACUGACGCUGAGGCGCGAAAGCGUGGGGAGCAAACAGGGAUUAGAUACCCUGGUAGUCCACGCCGUAAACGAUGAGUGCUAAGUGUUAGGGGGUUUCCGCCCCCUUAGUGCUGCAGCUAACGCAUUAAGCACUCCGCCUGGGGAGUACGGCCGCAAGGCUG